GACGAACGCUGGCUGCGUGCUUAACACAUGCAAGUCGAACGGAAAGGCCCUGCUUGCAGGGUACUCGAGUGGCGAACGGGUGAGUAACACGUGGGUGAUCUGCCCUGCACUUCGGGAUAAGCCUGGGAAACUGGGUCUAAUACCGGAUAGGAGCCAUUUUCAGUGUGAUGGUUGGAAAGUUUUUUCGGUGUAGGAUGAGCUCGCGGCCUAUCAGCUUGUUGGUGGGGUAAUGGCUUACCAAGGCGGCGACGGGUAGCCGGCCUGGGAGGGUGGACGGCCACAUUGGGACUGAGAUACGGCCCAGACUCCUACGGGAGGCAGCAGUGAGGAAUAUUGCACAAUGGGCGCAAGCCUGAUGCAGCGACGCCGCGUGGGGGAUGACGGCCUUCGGGUUGUAAACUCCUUUCGCUAGGGACGAAGCUUUUUGUGACGGUACCUAGAUAAGAAGCACCGGCUAACUACGUG
rnacentral:rRNA from 1 species